AUGAAAUUAGAAUUGCAUGAACAAGUUUAGUAAGGAUUGUUGAGUCAGUGAUAUGAUUUUCUUAACAUGAUUUAAAUCUUCAUCUGUUUGACACUGAUAUUAUAAGGAUAGCACAUUUUGAAAAAUGACCAUGUUGGCUAUGAUAGUUUAAAUGGAUAGAUAAUAGAGUUCUAAAGGAUGAAUGCUAGUGAAAUGAAGGAACAAGUUAAAUUGCUAGUGAAGACUGAAUUUUGAUAUGAACUCAAGUUUGGGGGAAAAAUAUUUGGAGUAUAUAAGCUUUGAAAAAAAAAAAGAAUAAACACCGUGGCAUGCUUGUCUAGUUUUGUGGCCUUUGUUACUUGAGUAAGUAAGCCCGAGGGGAUUGUCUCUACACCUAGCGCCCUAAGGUCUUAAUGGCUUAGGAGUCGUUGGUCGAAAGCUCGUUAAGGUAGCAUUGAAAAGCCUGAGGGAAUAAGACAAUGCAUAGUCAUGAGAGGAAAAAAAAUGAUGAAAGAAAAAUAUAUAUAUAUAAUAAAGCGGGAAAAGUGCAAAAAGCCCCCGUAAUAAAAAAAAGCAUAAGUAUUCCAUGUUGACCCCUGGAUUUUGGUGAUUGUUCAAUUUCAGUUGAAUCAAGUUUAUUUGAUGAGUUCUCGAGUUAAAACUGUAUGAUGACUAUUAAGAACUUUAUUAUCUCUCAUAUUUUGCUGCUCAUUGGUUAGCAUGGUUGUUGAACACACACUCACAAUAUCAGUAAUAACAGAUUUAGAUUCAUUGAUUGUUGGGAUAUUAUUGAACUGCAGUAACAUGAUGUAUUAGCAUGUUUUGUGAUUAUUCUGAGGCC
rnacentral:lncRNA from 1 species